rnacentral:rRNA from 1 species
UACGUAGGGGGCGAGAGUUGUCCGGAUUUACUGGGUGUAAAGGGUGCUCAGGUGGAUUUGUAAGUCAGAGGUGAAAUCCCAAAGCUCAACUUUGGAGCUGCCUUUGAUACUGCAAGUCUGGAGUUUGGGAGAGGGUAAUGGAAUAUCUGGUGUGGCAGUGAAAUGCGUAGAUAUCAGAUAGAACACCAAUGGCGAAGGCAGUUGCCUGGCCCAAAACUGACGCUAAAGCACGAAAGUGUGGGGAGCAAACAGG